rnacentral:rRNA from 1 species
UGGGGAAUAUUGGACAAUGGGGGCAACCCUGAUCCAGCCAUGCCGCGUGUGUGAAGAAGGCCUUUUGGUUGUAAAGCACUUUAAGCAGGGAGGAGAGGCUAAUGGUUAAUACCCAUUAGAUUAGACGUUACCUGCAGAAUAAGCACCGGCUAACUCUGUGCCAGCAGCCGCGGUAAUACAGAGGGUGCGAGCGUUAAUCGGAAUUACUGGGCGUAAAGCGAGUGUAGGUGGCUCAUUAAGUCACAUGUGAAAUCCCCGGGCUUAACCUGGGAACUGCAUGUGAUACUGGUGGUGCUAGAAUAUGUGAGAGGGAAGUAGAAUUCCAGGUGUAGCGGUGAAAUGCGUAGAGAUCUGGAGGAAUACCGAUGGGGAAGGCAGCUUCCUGGCAUAAUUUUGACACUGAAAUUCAAAAGCGUGGGUAGCAAACAGGAUUAGAUACCCUGGUAGUCCAAAACGUAAACAAUGUCUACUAGCCGUUGGGGUCCUUGAGACUUGAGUGGCGCAAUUAACGCGAGAAGUGUACCGCCGGGGGAGUACGGCCGUAAGACUGGCAGUGAAAUGAAUUGUCGG